rnacentral:rRNA from 1 species
GACGAACGCUGGCGGCGUGCUUAACACAUGCAAGUCGAACGGAAAGGCCCAGCUUGCUGGGUGCUCGAGUGGCGAACGGGUGAGUAACACGUGGGUGAUCUGCCCCUAACUUCGGGAUAAGCUUGGGAAACUGGGUCUAAUACCGGAUAGGACCAUCGUUUAGUGUCGGUUGUGGAAAGUUUUUUCGGUUAGGGAUGAGCCCGCGGCCUAUCAGCUUGUUGGUGGGGUAAUGGCCUACCAAGGCGUCGACGGGUAGCCGGCCUGAGAGGGUGGGCGGCCACAUUGGGACUGAGAUACGGCCCAGACUCCUACGGGAGGCAGCAGUGGGGAAUAUUGCACAAUGGGCGCAAGCCUGAUGCAGCGACGCCGCGUGGGGGAUGACGGCCUUCGGGUUGUAAACCUCUUUCGACAGGGACGAAGCUUUGGUGACGGUACCUGUAUAAGAAGCACCGGCUAACUACGUG